CCUANGGGUGGCAGCAGUAAGGAAUAUUGGACAAUGGCCGCAAGGCUGAUCCAGCCAUGCCGCGUGCAGGAUGAAGGUGCUCUGCAUUGUAAACUGCUUUUGUUCGGGAAUAAACCCCUCUACGUGUAGAGGGCUGAAUGUACCGAAAGAAUAAGGGUCGGCUAACUCCGUGCCAGCAGCCGCGGUAAUACGGGGGUGGCAAGCGUUACUCGGAUUGAUUGGGUGUAAAGGGCGUGUAGGUGGCAUUAUAAGUCGAUUGUGAAAUCCCUUGGCUUAACCAAGGAACUGCAUUCGAAACUAUUUUGCGUGAGCAAUGGAGAGGAAAGUGGAAUUCCCGGUGUAACAGUGAAAUGUGUAGAUAUCGGGAGGAACACCAGUGGCGAAGGCGACUUUCUGGACAUUUGCUGACACUGAAACGCGAGAGCAUGGGGAGCAAACAGGAUUAGAUACCCGGNUANUC
rnacentral:rRNA from 1 species